GAGGAAUAUUGGUCAAUGGGCGAGAGCCUGAACCAGCCAAGUAGCGUGCAGGAUGACGGCCCUAUGGGUUGUAAACUGCUUUUAUGUGGGGAUAAAGUGAGCUACGUGUAGUUUAUUGCAGGUACCACAUGAAUAAGGACCGGCUAAUUCCGUGCCAGCAGCCGCGGUAAUACGGAAGGUCCAGGCGUUAUCCGGAUUUAUUGGGUUUAAAGGGAGCGUAGGCCGUGGAUUAAGCGUGUUGUGAAAUGUAGACGCUCAACGUCUGAAUUGCAGCGCGAACUGGUUCACUUGAGUAUGCACAACGUAGGCGGAAUUCGUCGUGUAGCGGUGAAAUGCUUAGAUAUGACGAAGAACUCCGAUUGCGAAGGCAGCUUACGGGAGCACAACUGACGCUGAAGCUCGAAGGUGCGGGUAUCAAACAGGAUUAGAUACCCUGGUAGUCCGCACAGUAAACGAUGGAUGCCCGCUGUUGGUACCUGGUAUCAGCGGCUAAGCGAAAGCAUUAAGCAUCCCACCUGGGGAGUACGCCGGCAACGGUG
rnacentral:rRNA from 1 species